rnacentral:lncRNA from 1 species
ACUCUUUUACCCCAUAACCAAAUAAAAAUCCCAACAUUCUGUAAAGGUACUCAUACUUAACAGAAAGAAACAAACAAAAAAAAUCAGCAAACGUCACUAGAAACUUAAUACCAAGUAAAAAACAACCAAGGAGUGGAAGGUGGAAAGAGAAAAUUUUGGAUUAACUAGUCAACACAACACUAGCCCUCAGAGAUCUGGUAAAAUGAAUGUGAGGUAAAAAUGCACGAACCCCCAAAUAGGAGACAUCUCGGGUAGAAACAACACUCUAGAAGUUGUAUUGUGCUUUUCCUUUUGAUUUUUUUAUUAUUUCUUUCUCCUUGAUUAAUGAUAGGACCCUGUUUUCUGCCAUAACUGGCCAGAAGCAAGAGACCAUCAUCUAUCAUUAAGAGAAAAGUACCUGGGCAUUCAGGUCCUGUAUGUCUUUUGAUAGGCAGAGUAACUCAGAAAAUCUCUACUCUCUCUUCUUAGUUGUAGAGGAGAAAUAUGCAGGAUUUAUGGACCUCCAGACAUCCACAUAGACUCCCUCACGUGCAAAUACCAAAGGCUAUCAUAUGUUGAAUUAAGCAUCAUCUACUGGCAUGUAGUUGAAGUUUAAUGCCUUUAUUUUGAAAGGUUGUACCAAAUGCUGACCAGUGAUAGGCCACCAGUGCUAAUACCCAAGUACAAGUCAUGUUCAUGCAUGUAUGAGAUUAAAGUAGGUGGAAAACAGCAUUUUAUACAGAAUUAAAUCUUUUUAAUAUAAGAAGCUGGAGAGAUGUCUCAGAAGUUAUAAACAGUUGCUGCUCUUCAGAGGACCCAGAUUUGGUUCCCAGUACCUACAUGGGAGCUCAUAACCACCUGUGACUUCAGUCCCAGGGGAUCCAAUACCCUCCUCUGGCCUCUGUGGUUUCCUGCAUUCACAUGGUACAUAUUUAAUACAUACAUACCAAUACCCAAGCACAUAAAAUAUAAGUAAACAAAUUUAAAAUUAAUUUAAUGUAGUAAGAUCAGGGGACAGUCCUUGGUUAAAAGGGACAUUACGCAGAUGAGUAUCCCGUGAGGGAUUCCUGUGUGACUUUGUAGUAUGAGCAACAUCCCUAAAUCUAUGUUUUUGGGAAUUUUUCCAAUUACAUUUAUUUGCAAUGGUACAAAAAUUACUGAAAUUUCUAUGGGUCAGCAUGAAAAAAGAUUCUUGAGAGUCUUUCAAGUUUUCAUAGCUUUUAUAGUAGAAUGCCAAAAUUAACAAGUUUAUUAGCAAAAUUUCUAUUCAGUCUUCCUAGGGCUAAAUGAUAUAGAAAUCCCAUUUCAUGCAGCAUAUUUCAACCCUGUUAGAAAGGAUUUGAAUACAUGUUUUAAUCACAUAACAAAAUAUAACAGGCAUAAACAGGUUUGGAAACUAACUUGGUUAUUUAUAGUUCACAGUUCAGCCUUUGAAGAAUAAAAUUAGGGUUAAUUUCUCUUAAAUGAAUACAUUAUUCUGAAAAGGGUUUUGAUUUAAAAAAUUACUGUACUCAUCUAUAGAGAGAGUACACUAGAUCUAGCUUCGUGUUUUUAUCAUGUCACAUUUUAGAAGGGUACUUAUGUCAACAUUAGGAACUGGCAUUGAUGUAUGGCCAUCUUAAGUCCCACCACAUCUGAAUAGCCCUAGCCUCCCCAUAUGUCUACUUUUCAUCCUACAAUCUCAUCUAGGAUCCUUCAUAGGUCAUUAAACUCCAAGUUAUGACCUAUUUUCAAACUUUUCUUGUUUUUUUUUUAAUUACUUCUUUUCUUUUCUUAUUUUAAAGACAGUCUUAGAAUUCACUAUGCAGAUUGGCCUCAGUCUUGGAGUGAUCUUCCUGACUCUGCCUCCCAAGUGCU